AGUGAACGCUGGCGGCAUGCCUAACACAUGCAAGUCGAACGGCAGCGCAGUAAGAUUUUGCUCUUACGGGUGGCGACUGGCGGACGUGUGACGCAUACAUCGGAAUCUUCUUUUUCGUGGAGGAUAACGUAGGGAAACUUACGAUAAUACCGCAUAUGACCUACGGGUGAAUGCAGGGGAUCUUCGCACCUUGCGCGUCUGUAUGAGCCGAUGUCGGAUUAGCUAGUUGGUUGGGUAAGGGCCCACCAAGGCGGCGAUACGUAGCUGGUCUGAGAGGAUGAUCGGCCACACUGGAACUGAGACACGGUCCAGACUCCUACGGGAGGCAGCAGUAGGGAAUAUUAGGCAAUGGGCGCAAGCCUGACGCAGCCAUACCGCGUGUGUGAAGAAGGCCUUCGGGUCGUAAAGCCCUUUUGUUGGGAAAGAAAAGCUGCAGGAUAAUACGCCGCUGUUCUGACGGUACCCAAAGAAUAAGCACCGGCUAACUACGUG
rnacentral:rRNA from 1 species